UAUUGGCUGUGAGGAUAAUUAUUCAGCUUAUGCCAGUUCUGCUUCUGACAAAUCGUGAUUGAUAGAGCUGUAAUACACUCUGAGCCAUUU